rnacentral:rRNA from 1 species
ACGAACGCUGGCGGCGUGCUUAACACAUGCAAGUCGAGCGACAGUGCCUUUCGGGGUACAUGGAGCGGCGAACGGGUGAGUAACACGUGGGCAACCUGCCCUCAGCUCUGGGAUAACUCCGGGAAACCGGGGCUAAUACCGGAUACGACCUUCCUCGGCAUCGGGGUGGGUGGAAAGUUUUUCGGCUGAGGAUGGGCCCGCGGCCUAUCAGCUUGUUGGUGGGGUCAUGGCCUACCAAGGCGACGACGGGUAGCCGGCCUGAGAGGGCGACCGGCCACACUGGGACUGAGACACGGCCCAGACUCCUACGGGAGGCAGCAGUGGGGAAUAUUGCGCAAUGGGCGGAAGCCUGACGCAGCGACGCCGCGUGAGGGAUGAAGGCCUUCGGGUUGUAAACCUCUUUCAGCAGGGACGAAGCGAGAGUGACGGUACCUGCAGAAGAAGCACCGGCCAACUACGU